rnacentral:rRNA from 1 species
UAGCCUUGACAUACUACAGAAUUUGACAGAGAUGUUGAAGUGCCUUCGGGAGCUGUAAUACAGGUGCUGCACGGCUGUCGUCAGCUCGUGUCGUGAGAUGUUGGGUUAAGUCCCGCAACGAGCGCAACCCUCGUCCUUAGUUGCUAGCAGUUCGGCUGAGCACUCUAAGGAGACUGCCUUCGUAAGGAGGAGGAAGGUGAGGACGACGUCAAGUCAUCAUGGCCCUUAUGCCCAGGGCUGCACACGUGCUACAAUGGCUGGAACAAUGGGACGCAAUGCCGCGAGGCGGAGCAAAUCCUCAACACCGGCCCCAGUUCGGAUUGGAGUCUGCAACUCGACUCCAUGAAGCUGGAAUCACUAGUAAUCGUAGAUCAGCAAUGCUACGGUGAAUACGUUCCCGGGUCU